rnacentral:rRNA from 1 species
GGNNGAGGANCUAUACUGCAAGUCGAACGCACAGCGAAAGGUGCUUGCACCUUUCAAGUGAGUGGCGAACGGGUGAGUAACACGUGGACAACCUGCCUCAAGGCUGGGGAUAACAUUUGGAAACAGAUGCUAAUACCGAAUAAAACUUAGUGUCGCAUGACAAAAAGUUAAAAGGCGCUUCGGCGUCACCUAGAGAUGGAUCCGCGGUGCAUUAGUUAGUUGGUGGGGUAAAGGCCUACCAAGACAAUGAUGCAUAGCCGAGUUGAGAGACUGAUCGGCCACAUUGGGACUGAGACACGGCCCAAACUCCUACGGGAGGCUGCAGUAGGGAAUCUUCCACAAUGGGCGAAAGCCUGAUGGAGCAACGCCGCGUGUGUGAUGAAGGCUUUCGGGUCGUAAAGCACUGUUGUAUGGGAAGAACAGCUAGAAUAGGAAAUGAUUUUAGUUUGACGGUACCAUACCAGAAAGGGACGGCUAAAUACGUGCCAGCAGCCGCGGUAAUACGUAUGUCCCGAGCGUUAUCCGGAUUUAUUGGGCGUAAAGCGAGCGCAGACGGUUUAUUAAGUCUGAUGUGAAAGCCCGGAGCUCAACUCCGGAAUGGCAUUGGAAACUGGUUAACUUGAGUGCAGUAGAGGUAAGUGGAACUCCAUGUGUAGCGGUGGAAUGCGUAGAUAUAUGGAAGAACACCAGUGGCGAAGGCGGCUUACUGGACUGCAACUGACGUUGAGGCUCGAAAGUGUGGGUAGCAAACAGGAUAGAACCCCCCGCGGGAAAAA